rnacentral:misc_RNA from 1 species
UCCGGCUUAUCACCGGCGGUUUCUUUAGAGUGCCCAACUAAAUGAUGGCAACUAAAGACGAGGGUUGCGCUCGUUGCGGGACUUAACCCAACAUCUCGCGACACGAGCUGACGACAGCCAUGCAGCACCUGUGCGGCGUCCGGCCGAACCGAAAGGUCCAUCUCUGGACCCGCGACGCCCAUGUCAAGGGCUGGUAAGGUUCUGCGCGUUGCUUCGAAUUAAACCACAUGCUCCACCGCUUGUGCGGUCCCCCGCCAAUUCCUUUGAGUUUCAACCUUGCGAUCGUAGUUCCCAGGCGGUUCACUUAAUGCGUUAGCUGCGGCACCGGGGCAAAGCCCCAACACCUAGUGAACAUCGUUUAUGGCCAAGACUAC